CGGACGGGUGAGUAAUGUCUGGGAAACUGCCUGAUGGAGGGGGAUAACUACUGGAAACGGUAGCUAAUACCGCAUAACGUCGCAAGACCAAAGAGGGGGACCUUCGGGCCUCUUGCCAUCAGAUGUGCCCAGAUGGGAUUAGCUAGUAGGUGGGGUAACGGCUCACCUAGGCGACGAUCCCUAGCUGGUCUGAGAGGAUGACCAGCCACACUGGAACUGAGACACGGUCCAGACUCCUACGGAGGCAGCAUG
rnacentral:rRNA from 1 species